GUGGGGUGAGGUUGGGCGCCUGUAGUGGUCGGAGGGCUGGACUCUCUCACCCUUUCCCCUUGGAUCUAGAGAGAGGAAGCAGCAAAAAGAGUUGAGUAAAAUUGGAGCCGGGUGUGAGGUCUGGAGAUGCGGUGAGCUUCAGAAGCGAAUAGCAGCCCCCAGCAAGUGCAAACCAUUUCAACCUCGACUUGUCCACAGACUUUUCAUCCCUGGAAUCAAUACCAUGAAUAUCCCGCGGCCAUAUUUGAAAGAUGAUCUAUCUUCAGUGUCCAGGAGGAGAUUUAUCCCUCAGUGAAUAUCAUAGAAACAU